CCUACGGGAGGCUGCAGUGAGGAAUAUUGGUCAAUGGCCGGAAGGCUGAACCAGCCAAGCCGCGUGAAUGACGAAGGUGCCAAGCAUUGUAAACUUCUUUUGUCAAGGGACAAAUUCAGGUUCGAGACCCUGACCGAGUGUACUUUAAGAAAAAGCAUCGGCUAACUCCGUGCCAGCAGCCCCGGUAAUACGGAGGAUGCGAGCGUUAGCCGGAUUUAUUGGGUUUAACGGGUGCGUAGGCGGACUGUUAAGUCAGCGGGAAAAGCCCGGGGCUCAACCCCGGCGCGCCGUUGAAACUGGCAGUCUUGAGAUGUAGAGAGGUAUGCGGAAUGCGCAGUGUAGCGGUGAAAUGCUUAGAUAUAGCGCAGAACUCCGAUUGCGAAGGCAGCAUACCGGCGGCGAUCUGACGCUGAGGCACGAAAGCGUGGGUAUCGAACAGGAUUAGAUACCCUUGUAGUC
rnacentral:rRNA from 1 species